CUCACUAGGGUCGCGGGGGGUGCUGGAGCCUAUCCCAGCUGUCUCCGGGCAGUAGGCGGGGGACACCCCGAAUUGGUUGCCAACCAAUCGCAGGGCACACAGAGACGAACAACCAUUCGCACUCACACUCACACCUAGGGACAAUUUAGAGUGUUCAAUCAGCCUGCCACGCAUGUUUUUGGAAUGUGGGAGGAAACCAGAGCACCCAGAGAAAACCCACGCAGGCCCGGGGAGAACAUGCAAACUCCACACAGGGAGGCCGGAGCUGGAAUCGAACCCGGUACCUCUGCACUGCGAAGCCGACGUGCUAACCACUGGACUACCGGGCCGCCCGCUAACGGUACAGUCAAGCUUUAUUGGACUUUUGAGGCCAUCGUUUCUCGUUCUAUUUGUCCCGCCACUUUUGGGUUGCGCUCCACUUUGGAGGUUCCACCGUCAUUGCUUGGCAUAAAUGGGAGAUUUUUUUUUUUCUGGGAAAGAAUUGAAAUGCCACCUGAGCUUUCAGCUGUGUCAUGUUAAACACUGUUAAAAAUGACAUGAGAAACAAUCAUCCUAAGAUGUGGUUGCACACGCAGUGCGCCGCGUGUGUACCUCAGGGCGGUGAGGACUGUCAUUAUGCGGAUCAAACGCAUCCCACAGUCUGGGGUAUUUCUGUCCCUUUGCGGCCAACUCGUCUGUGAGCACAAAGCACCUUGUUGGAAGGAGAGAAUGGCAAGUAUUCCAGUUGCGCUGAUAGCUGUAAUAAACCCUUUCUCCUACCAUUCAUUUCCAUUCUGUAAUUCCCCUCCUGCAUGAGCAAAAUCUAUGCCCUUAGAAAAAAAGGAGAGGUUUGGUAUGCAGGAAUUGGGUAAUUCAACGUCUUUAUGAACAUGCUGAAUCUAGUUGAGCUAAAGAAUUUAAAUCAAGAGAUAGAAGCAUAAAAUAGAAGCUUAGGUAUUUUUUUUUUUUUAGAAAUCCCCCACACCCCACACACACGCACACACAAAUUGUGGCUUAUUUAAACUUUCAUGAAACAAUAACAUGAACAUGAGGAGUGCAUAUCUAGACACUGCAUGAAUAAAUACAUAAAUAUUUGCGCAUAUAAAUUGUCAGGUUUCUGGUCCGGUCCAGUAGUUAGCGCGUCAACCUCACAGUGCAGAGGUUGUGGGUUCAAUCCCGGCUACGGCCUCCCUGUGUAGAGUUUGCAUGUUUUCCUGGGCUUGUGUGGCUUUUCUCCGGGUACUCCGGUUUCCUUCCAGAUUCCAAAAACAUGCCUAGCAGGCUGAUUGAACACUCAAAAUUGUCCCUUGGUGUGAGCGUGAGUGCGGAUGGUUGUUCGUCUCUCUGUGCCCUGCGAUUGGCUGGCAACCGGUUCAGGGUGUCCCCCGCCUACUGCCCAAAGACGGCUGGGAAAGGCUCCAGCACCCUCCACGAUUCUUGUGAGGAUAAAGCGAAUCGGAAAAUGGAUGGAUGGAUAAACAAUAAAGCCCAUCCACCGACCAAAAUUGAGCUUUUUUUUUUCUUCUCAUAAAUUGCAGCCUUUGCCAUUUGAAAAUUGCAUUCUGUGGCAUUGCAAUGUGGAUUUGUAUUUGAUACAGUCAUUGCAUUAUUAUUGCAGCGUAUUUGGUUUUCUUCGGAAUUGGGGUACACAUAUACAGGUACUCUUGAUCAUAAUUCAAAAAUAAUCUUUAUAUAAAUAAUGAUGCUGUGGUAUUUGGCAUGUUAGUCUUUUUCUCCUCGUUUUUUUUUUUUAUGCCCUGCGUGAUCUGUGCCUGGUAGUCGCAUUAUCUGCUUUGCAUUUCAUUACGGACGUCACUGUAAUUGUUACUGUGGUCUGCUAUGAGUUGAAGCUUCCCAUAAAUCAACUCACGCAGUCGAAAGAGGACACCGUUUUAAUAGAGAGAUUAUAUUAUUCCUUUCACUUUUCUAACUCUGUCAGUUAUGAGGUAACUGACAGAGUUAGUUAGGCCCCAUCUGAAAUUGAUUUUUUUUUUUAACAAAGGCUUUUCUGACCAAAAUUCAAAUUGAUGUUUCCGCAAUGAUAAAUGGCCUCUCACCAAAACUCUGCACAGCGUUGUCUCACGAAAAGUAACGAGCGCUCGCGGUUUUCCGAUAACUGACACAUCCCUGGAAGCGAGCCUUUUGACCGGUUAACCUCACAGUCUGCUCAAGAUGUUGAACAUUGAGUCAAGUUGACAAGCUUCAGCUCGCGGUUUUAUUGUAUCCCAAACACUUAGGCCGAGUUUAUUUUUGUGACGGCGUUGCAAUCAGAACAUCUUGGGAACCUCAAAGGUUGACCGCAAUCCAUUCUCGGUCGAAGGUCAACCUUUGGUUUGUUCCGUCUUUGAAUAUCCCCCAUAGGGGAAAAAUGGAUAAGGAGAAUUCUAGGUUUCAACUGUCACCUUCAAAAUAACAUGUAAAAAUGAAACGUUUACGGCCUUUAUUGAUCAGAACGUGAAAAAAAAGUUACAUUUUGACAUUCGUCUCUCAUAAAUGUAAUUAAAUAAAUGUGAGUACAGACAUUUUU